rnacentral:tRNA from 1 species
GGGGAUUUAGCUCAGUGGCUUGAGCGCCUGCCUUGCAAGCAUGUGGUCAUGAGUACAAUCCCUG